GGAAUAUUGGACAAUGGGCGCAAGCCUGAUCCAGCAAUGCCGCGUGUGUAAAGAAGGCCUUCGGGUUGUAAAGCACUUUAAGUUGGGAGGAAAGCCUUUUCAUUAAUACUGAGAAGGGGUGACGUUACCAACAGAAUAAGCACCGGCUAACUCCGUGCCAGCAGCCGCGGUAAUACGGAGGGUGCAAGCGUUAAUCGGAAUUACUGGGCGUAAAGCGAGUGUAGGCGGCUACGUAAGUCGGUUGUGAAAUCCCCGGGCUUAACCUGGGAAUUGCGAUCGAUACUACGUAGCUAGAGUCUGAUAGAGGGAAGUGGAAUUCCAGGUGUAGCGGUGAAAUGCGUAGAUAUCUGGAGGAACAUCAGUGGCGAAGGCGGCUUCCUGGAUCAAGACUGACGCUCAGGCUCGAAAGCGUGGGUAGCA
rnacentral:rRNA from 1 species